rnacentral:misc_RNA from 1 species
UGCUUCAUGAUAAUGCACCAUCACAUGCAGCAGAACCGGUCAAGGAAACGAUUGGAGCGUUCAGUUGGGAAAUACUUUCGCACGCGGCUUACUCACCAGACUUGGCUCCGUCCGAUUACUAUUUAUUUUAGUUGGACGGAGCCAAGUCUGGUGAGUAAGCCGCGUGCGAAAGUAUUUCCCAACUGAACGCUUCAAUCGUUUCCUUGACCGGUUUUGCUGUAUGUGAUGGUGCAUUAUCAUGAAGCAAAAUUACUUUGUGUUGCCUUUUUGAUAUUCUGGACGUUUUUCACGCAAAGUUCGAUUCAAA